rnacentral:tRNA from 1 species
GCCUGGCUGGCUCAGUCAGUAGAGCAUACGGGUCUUAAUCUUGGGGUCAUGAGUUCAAGCCCUAUGUUGGGCA